rnacentral:ribozyme from 16 species
AUGGCUUGAAUAAUACGUAAGAAAUUUGUCUGUGUUACUUCUUGUUCUCGUGUCCGUUGUUUUUUUAUUGACAUGUUGUGUGGAUGUUUUGUUUUUUCUUUUGUCCAAUUUGGCGUGAUAUU